rnacentral:rRNA from 1 species
AUGGGAACGCGAAGAACCUUACCUAGACUUGACAUCCCCUGAAUAACGUAGAGAUACGCGAAGCCCUUCGGGGCAGGGAGACAGGUGGUGCAUGGUUGUCGUCAGCUCGUGUCGUGAGAUGUUGGGUUAAGUCCCGCAACGAGCGCAACCCUUAUCAUUAGUUGCUACCAUUUAGUUGAGCACUCUAGUGAGACUGCCCGGGUUAACCGGGAGGAAGGCGGGGAUGACGUCAAAUCAUCAUGCCCCUUAUGUCUAGGGCUACACACGUGCUACAAUGGUGAGAACAACGAGAUGCAAUACCGCGAGGUGGAGCAAAACUUCAAAACUCAUCUCAGUUCGGAUUGUAGGCUGAAACUCGCCUACAUGAAGUUGGAGUUGCUAGUAAUCGCGAAUCAGAAUGUCGCGGUGAAUACGUUCCCGGGUCUUGUACACACCG